GUCUCAGUAGCUCAGCUGGAUAGAGCAACGCCCUUCUAAGGCGUGGGUCGGGGGUUCGAAUCUCUCCUGGGACACCA
rnacentral:tRNA from 1 species